UUUACAAAUAACUAAAAUUCAAAAUUAAAAAAAUGGGAAGAAGAGUCUAAAGUCAAUAUAGGAAUACAAUUUAGAAGUAACUGAAAUUCAAAAUUAAAAAUUAAAAAAUAUUGAAAGAUGAGUUUACACUACUAAAAAACUCUCAUAGAGACCGGUUCAUAGGUGCCGGUUCAUUUAAAACCGGCACCUAUAGAGCUUUUCCUACCUCCUUGCGGUGAAAAAAUGUAGAACCGGCACCUUUAAGAACAUUUGAACCGGCACCUAUAAUAUAGAUGCUGGUUUUUUAAAAGAACCGGCACCUAAUAAUUUUUAUAGGGGCCGGUUGUUUUUAAAAACCGGCACCUAUAGCGUUUGGCCGAGCCGAUUCGAGCCGAGCCCACGCACGGCACCCAUCGCGUCCUUAUCUAUCCCUCCCCUUCUCGAUCUCUCGCGUCUCUCUAACUCUGCUCUCUCUCUCUCUCUCGCUGUCCUCUCUCUCCCUCCCCUCUCCCGCCGUCUCGCGGUCGGCGGCUGGCCAGCGGAGGCGGCAGCAGCGGCCGCGCCCUCCCCUCCGCCAGAUCCGGCGGGAGGGGAGGCGGUGGGCUCCCGCGGCGGAGGCGGCAGCGGCGACCGCGCCCUCCCCUCCGCCAGAUCCGGCGGGAGGGGAGGCGGCGGGAUCCCGCGGCGGAGGCGGCAGCAGCGACCACGGCGGCAGCCGCCGACCACGGGCUCCCAUGGCUGGCCGGCGGAGGCCUCGCAGCGGCGGCCACGGGGUUGGCCACGGCGGAGGCGGAGGCGGCGGCGGCCGCGACCUCCCCUCUGCCAGAUCCGGCCGCCCGGUGUGCCACGGCUUGGCGCCAGCGAGGUGGGCAGGCAGCGGGUGGCGGGUGGCGUGCCACGGCUUGGCGCCAGCCGCUAGGGCCCAGGGGCGAGGGCGCACCGGCGCGGGCAGGGGCGCAGGGUAGCGAGCGCCGAGCCGCCGACCAGGGCCACAGCGGCACGGCCGGAGCCGCACAUCGCCCCUGAACACAUCGUCACAGCCACACAGUAUACAGUUUAGUUGGCGGCGACAGGGUAGGGGGACGGCCAGCGAGGAUGACUGGGAUUGAGCGAGCUCCGUUGCUGCUGGUUGCCUGCUCUGGCUUCUCAAACAUCUCAAGCAAAAGCAACUCUUAUUAUGGAAAACAUGCAUCUUCAUAUACUUCCAACGAUGAACCCUGAUGGAUUUGCUCUUAGAAGACGUGGUAAUGCAAACAAUGUUGACCUCAACGGAGAUUUUCCUGACCAAUCAUAUAAAUUCCAAGAAUCAUGAUUCUGGAAGGGAGAAAACUUGUGCACCCAGUGUUGGACAUGGAAACAAGAUUAACAAGGUGAUGCCUUGCUUUAUUAUUUCAACUUAAUUUCUCUCAAGUUAACUUUGUAUUGCCUUUGUUUGAAAGUAUGGAAUUGAUGUAAACAUUUGGAGAUGGAAUUGAUGUAUGAUAACUUGAAUGUGUGGAGAUGGAUUGCAUUUAUGUGUGUAUGUUUGGAAAUUUUUGGAUUUGGGGUGAUGUGAAUCUGUGAAUUGAUGUUUGGAGAUGGAUUACAUAUAUUCUGUGAAUUGAAGUGGGUUUUUGUGUGUA